CCUACGGGUGGCUGCAGUGGGGAAUAUUGGACAAUGGGGGCAACCCUGAUCCAGCCAUGCCGCGUGUGUGAAGAAGGCCCUCGGGUUGUAAAGCACUUUCAGUGAGGAAGAACGCCUGGUGGUUAAUACCCAUCAGGAAAGACAUCACUCACAGAAGAAGCACUGGCUAACUCCGUGCCAGCAGCCGCGGUAAUACGGAGGGUGCGAGCGUUAAUCGGAAUUACUGGGCGUAAAGCGCGCGUAGGUGGCUUGAUAAGCCGGUUGUGAAAGCCCCGGGCUCAACCUGGGAACGGCAUCCGGAACUGUCAAGCUAGAGUGCAGGAGAGGAAGGUAGAAUUCCCGGUGUAGCGGUGAAAUGCGUAGAGAUCGGGAGGAAUACCAGUGGCGAAGGCGGCCUUCUGGACUGACACUGACACUGAGGUGCGAAAGCGUGGGUAGCAAACAGGAUUAGAUACCCCAGUAGUC
rnacentral:rRNA from 1 species